AGUGAACGCUGGCGGUAGGCCUAACACAUGCAAGUCGAACGGCAGCACAGUAAGAGCUUGCUCUUACGGGUGGCGAGUGGCGGACGGGUGAGGAAUACAUCGGAAUCUACUUUUUCGUGGGGGAUAACGUAGGGAAACUUACGCUAAUACCGCAUACGACCUACGGGUGAAAGCAGGGGAUCUUCGGACCUUGCGCGAUUGAAUGAGCCGAUGUCGGAUUAGCUAGUUGGCGGGGUAAAGGCCCACCAAGGCGACGAUCCGUAGCUGGUCUGAGAGGAUGAUCAGCCACACUGGAACUGAGACACGGUCCAGACUCCUACGGGAGGCAGCAGUGGGGAAUAUUGGACAAUGGGCGCAAGCCUGAUCCAGCCAUACCGCGUGGGUGAAGAAGGCCUUCGGGUUGUAAAGCCCUUUUGUUGGGAAAGAAAAGCAGCAGGUUAAUACCCCGCUGUUCUGACGGUACCCAAGGAAUAAGCACCGGCUAACUUCG
rnacentral:rRNA from 1 species